GACGAACGCUGGCGGCGUGCUUAACACAUGCAAGUCGAACGGUGAAGCUCCAGCUUGCUGGAGUGGAUCAGUGGCGAACGGGUGAGUAACACGUGAGCAACCUGCCCCUGACUCUGGAAUAAGCGCUGGAAACGGCGUCUAAUACUGGAUACGAGAAGGGUCCGCAUGGGCACUUUCUGGAAAGUUUUUCGGUUGGGGAUAGGCUCGCGGCCUAUCAGCUUGUUGGUGAGGUAAUGGCUCACCAAGGCUACGACGGGUAGCCGGCCUGAGAGGGCGAACGGCCACACUGGGACUGAGACACGGCCCAGACUCCUACGGGAGGCAGCAGGGGGGAAUAUUGCACAAUGGGCGAAAGCCUGAUGCAGCGACGCCGCGUGAGGGAUGACGGCCUUCGGGUUGUAAACCUCUUUCAGCAGGGAAGAAGCGAAAGUGACGGUACCUGCAGAAGAAGCACCGGCUAACUACGUG
rnacentral:rRNA from 1 species